AAAAUGGUGGACAGUGAAGGUUACUCUGAAAUCUGGUAAAUGCAAGACACUGCUUAUUUCUGCAUCUUGUCAUUCAAUACCCAUGUAACUUCCAUACAGACGAGAAAGUAAAUGAAGCAAAAGUGUUUGUAUUUACAUAUCAUCCAGCCUUGUGAAGAGAAAACUAUUCUUAUAAACCCCUCAAAGAGAAUUUUUCACACUUUUCAUAUCAAAAGUGCAUGAAGUCAGUAAAGUCACAAGUAAACACAGAGCUUGUUCUUUUGAGAACAGCAUCUUGGGGUUUAGUCUACCAAAUCAUACUACAUAUGCAAAUGCUGCUUGAAUGCAAUUUAGCUGCAUGCUAAGCAGCAUAGAAAUCUCAAGGGUCAAAGAACUGAGAAUGUUUGCAGCAUGAAAAUCAUAGAAGCAAAUGUUUGAUGUACAGAUGUGUGUACCAAAAUAGGUCAUGGUUAGAUGAAUUCAUUUAUUUUAUUCAAUCCCUUAUUUGGAAUUGUUUGCUA
rnacentral:lncRNA from 1 species